GCCUGGGUGGCUCAAUGGUUGAGUGUCUGCCUCUGGCUCAGGGCAUGAUACUGGAAUAUGGGAUCGAGUCCCAUGUCGGGCU
rnacentral:tRNA from 1 species